rnacentral:rRNA from 1 species
AUCUGAGGAAUAAGCAUCGGCUAACUCCGUGCCAGCAGCCGCGGUAAGACAGAGGAUGCAAGCGUUAUCCGGAAUGAUUGGGCGUAAAGCGUCUGUAGGUGGUUCAACAAGUCUCCUGUCAAAGAUCAGGGCUUAACCCUGGGCCGGCAGGAGAAACUAUUAGGCUAGAGUUCGGUAGGGGCAGAGGGAAUUCCCGGUGGAGCGGUGAAAUGCGUAGAGAUCGGGAAGAACACCAAAUGGCGAAAGCACUCUGCUGGGCCGCGCCUGACACUCAGAGACGAA